CCUACGGGUGGCAGCAGUCGAGAAUCAUUCACAAUGGGGGAAACCCUGAUGGUGCGACGCCGCGUGGGGGAAUGAAGGUCUUCGCAUUGUAAACCCCUGUCAUGUGGGAGCAAGUUAAAAAUAUAGUACCACAAGUGGAAGAGACGGCUAACUCUGUGCCAGCCGCCGCGGUAAUACAGAGGUCUCAAGCGUUGUUCGGAGUCACUGGGCGUAAAGCGUGCGUAGGCUGUUUCGUAAGUCGUGUGUGAAAGGCGUGGGCUCAACCCGCGGACGGCACAAGAAACUGCUAGACUAGAGUAAAGGAGGGGGAACCGGAAUUCUCGGUGUAGCAGUGAAAUGCGUAGAUAUCGAGAGGAACACUAGUGGCGAAGGCGGGUUCCUGGACAUUAACUGACGCUGAGGCACGAAGGCCAGGGGAGCGAAAGGGAUUAGAUACCCUUGUAGUC
rnacentral:rRNA from 1 species